rnacentral:rRNA from 1 species
AAUGAACGUUGGCGGCGUGGAUUAGGCAUGCAAGUCGAGCGCGAUUCCCAGCAAUGGGAGGAAAGCGGCGAAAGGGAGAGGAACACGUGGAUUAUCUGCCCUCCGGACCGGGAUAGCUACGGGAAACUGUAGGUAAUACCGGAUAACAUCUAAGGAUCAAAUGGUGUGAUUCCGCCGGAGGAUGAGUCCGCGUCCUAUUAGCUAGUUGGUGAGGUAACGGCUCACCAAGGCCAUGAUGGGUAGCGGGUGUGAGAGCAUGACCCGCCUCACUGGGACUGAGACACUGCCCAGACACCUACGGGUGGCUGCAGUCGAGGAUCUUCGGCAAUGGGCGCAAGCCUGACCGAGCGACGCCGCGUGCGGGAUGAAGGCCUUCGGGUUGUAAACCGCUGUCGGAGGGGAGGAAAUGGUAGGGGGUUCUCCCCCUAUCUUGACCUAUCCUCGGAGGAAGUACGGGCUAAGUUCGUGCCAGCAGCCGCGGUAAGAC